AACGAACGCUGGCGGCAUGCCUAACACAUGCAAGUCGAACGAGACCUUCGGGUCUAGUGGCGCACGGUUGCGGAACGCGUGGGAACCUGCCCUUAGGUUCGGACUAACUCCCCGAAAGGGGUGCUAAUACCGGAUAAUGUCUUCGGACCAAAGAUUUAUCGCCUUUGGAUGGGCCCGCGUUGGAUUAGCUAGUUGUUAGGGUAAAAGCCUACCAAGGCGACGAUCCAUAGCUGGUCUGAGAGGAUGCUCAGCCACACUGGGACUGAGACACGGCCCAGACUCCUACGGGAGGCAGCAGUGGGGAAUAUUGGACAAUGGGCGAAAGCAUGAUCCAGCAAUGCCGCGUGAGUGAUGAAGGCCUUAGGGUUGUAAAGCUCUUUUACCCGGGAUGAUAAUGACAGUACCGGGAGAAUAAGCUCCGGCUAACUCCGUG
rnacentral:rRNA from 1 species